AUUGAACGCUGGCGGCAUGCCUUACACAUGCAAGUCGAACGGUAACAGGUCUUCGGAUGCUGACGAGUGGCGAACGGGUGAGUAAUACAUCGGAACGUGCCCGAGAGUGGGGGAUAACGAGGCGAAAGCUUUGCUAAUACCGCAUACGAUCCCAGGAUGAAAGCAGGGGACCGCAAGGCCUUGCGCUCACGGAGCGGCCGAUGACAGAUUAGGUAGUUGGUGGGAUAAAAGCUUACCAAGCCGACGAUCUGUAGCUGGUCUGAGAGGACGACCAGCCACACUGGGACUGAGACACGGCCCAGACUCCUACGGGAGGCAGCAGUGGGGAAUUUUGGACAAUGGGCGCAAGCCUGAUCCAGCCAUGCCGCGUGCAGGAUGAAGGCCUUCGGGUUGUAAACUGCUUUUGUUCGGAACGAAAAGACUCUGGUUAAUACCUGGGGUCCAUGACGGUACCGUAAGAAUAAGCACCGGCUAACUACGUGCCAGCCGCCGCGGUAAAAC
rnacentral:rRNA from 1 species